rnacentral:misc_RNA from 1 species
UCGCGGCUUAUCACCGGCAGUCCCCCUAGAGUGCCCAACUAAAUGAUGGCAACUAAGGGCGAGGGUUGCGCUCGUUGCGGGACUUAACCCAACACCUCACGGCACGAGCUGACGACAGCCAUGCAGCACCUGUGCAUCUGUCUCUUGCGAGAACACCGUAUUUCUACGGCUGUCAAAUGCAUGUCAAGUCCAGGUAAGGUUCUUCGCGUUGCAUCGAAUUAAACCACAUGCUCCACUGCUUGUGCGGGUCCCCGUCAAUUCUUUUGAGUUUUACCCUUGCGAGCGUACUCCCCAGGCGGUAUACUUAACGCGUUCGCUACGGUACUGUCAGGGUUGAGCCUAACAACACCAAGUAUACAUAGUUUAGGGCAAGGACUAC